rnacentral:lncRNA from 1 species
GACCGGGAGGGUUGAGCAAUUUAGGUCUGUUUCUACGUCAGUGGCCAGGUCUCACAGGCUCGGUCCAAGCCUCGCACCCACCAAGAAUCCUCGUGGGGUGAGCUCUCUAGGAUGGGGGACUAAGGGCUUAUGGAAAUUGCCCUUUAGGAAACCCUUGGGACAGCUGCCCUGGCAACCCCUCUCUGGCGAGCUGAAGCCUUCCUAGGAACCUGUCUUAGAAUUCAGGUGUGAAGAGGAAAUUGGGUUCAACCGGGUGUCAUGGGCGUCCCAGAACUGUUAAUAUAGUUUCCUCUUGGAAAAAUAAGUUUUUCAUAGAGUUUGACUCGUCCUGGAUGUCUGAAUCUCAGGGGUGGAAACGUUUGAAUCCCUGAGUAACUCUAAGGAUCAUUUUAUCUUGUAAUUAUGAGACCCAAGGGAUUCAGAGUGAA